rnacentral:rRNA from 1 species
ACGAACGCUGGCGGCGUGCUUAACACAUGCAAGUCGAACGGAAAGGCCCUGCUUUUGUGGGGUGCUCGCGUGGCGAACGGGUGAGUAGCACGUGAGUAACCUGCCCUUGACUUUGGGAUAACUUCAGGAAACUGGGGCUAAUACCGGAUAGGAGCUCCUGCUGCAUGGUGGGGGUUGGAAAGUUUCGGCGGUUGGGGAUGGACUCGCGGCUUAUCAGCUUGUUGGUGGGGUAGUGGCUUACCAAGGCUUUGACGGGUAGCCGGCCUGAGAGGGUGACCGGCCACAUUGGGACUGAGAUACGGCCCAGACUCCUACGGGAGGCAGCAGUGGGGAAUAUUGCACAAUGGGCGGAAGCCUGAUGCAGCAACGCCGCGUGCGGGAUGACGGCCUUCGGGUUGUAAACCGCUUUCGCCUGUGACGAAGCGUGAGUGACGGUAAUGGGUAAAGAAGCACCGGCUAACUACGUG